CAGCAGUCCAAAAUAUUAGUCAAUGCUCGCAAGAGUGAACUAGCUAACUGAAAUCUUAAUCUAAAUAUUAAGAUAAGGUAAGAGAAAAUAAUGAUAUUAUCUUACUAUUAGUGUCGUCUAAAUUUGGUGCCAGAAGACUCGGUAAGACCUUAGACGCAAACGUUAAUCGUCAUAAUCAGGCGUAAAGGGUGUGUAGGCUGCUUUAAAAAAUAUAAUAAAUAAUAUAAUUAUUAUAGCAAAAAAAUUAUAUUUUAAUAAAAGCUAGAAUCUAAAAGAGGGUAAGCUAAACAACAUAAUUAACUGGGACUGACAACUUAUAAUAAUGUGGAGUACUAAAGGUUAAAGCUAUUUAUCUACUGAAGAUUGACGCUGAGAAACGAAGGGGAGAAUAAGAAACUUAGAUUAGAGACCUAAUUAUCUCUCUCAGUCAACGAUGAAUGGUAGUUAUUAAAAAUUUUAUAAUUUUAGUAACGAGGUUAACACGAUGACC
rnacentral:rRNA from 1 species